ACUCUAUUCGACUAAACAAGUUUAACUGACCGUGAACCCUACUCCGAAUUUGAGAACACUCACCUUCUCACUCCCACUCUCAGAGACUCUAUUUACUUUCUCCGGCAAAAUUCCAAAUAUCACAAAUCACCCUCAAACUUCAUCAAUUACUCAGUCUUUUAUGCAGGAAGUUGAUAUGAAAAGGGAAAAGCAAGUAGAACAAUUGGACAUCAUUAGUAAUUUACCUGACCAUAUAAUUGCACACAUAAUUUCAUUUCUUCCUACAGAAGAGGCAAUUAGAACGAGCAUUUUGUCUUCGAAGUGGAAAUAUCUUUGGAAAGGCAUUAGUAGUGUUAGCUUACAGGGUACUCAAUCUGAUCCUGAUAGAUUUGCAAACCUUGUGGAGCAUGUACUUAACAAUUGUAAAUCCACAAACUUCCUUUCAAUUAAUCUUUCUUGUCCGGAUAAUAUAGGCUUAUCGCGUAUAAAUGCGUGGAUUUCCACCGCUCUUAGCUGUAAAAUCGAAAAGCUACUCCUCUACUUCCGUAAGUAUUUUCCAGAUAGAUCAGAACCUCCCCUGCCAAAAUGCGUUCUUGAUUGCAGCACGUUAAUAGUGCUUAAGCUUGAUUCAUAUUUUGAUCUUUGCAUACCUGAGUCAAUAGUUUGUUUUCCUCAUCUCAAGUUACUUGAUUUCAACGUCAUACUCCCUGAUCAGGAUAGGGUUAUGCAUCAGCUUUUGUCUUCCUGUCCAGUGUUGGAAGAACUGUCCGUGUCUUGCCUCCUAGAUUUUUGUAAAGUUCGAAAAAUUAAUAUAUGCAUUCCCACUCUUAAAAAACUAAGGCUGUGUCUAGAGUAUAGUAAAGAAGGUGAGUAUGAUGUUCUCAUCGAUACACCCAAUCUCGAAUAUCUAUACAUAGAGGAUGACUCGUUGUCUCGAUAUGUGAUGAAAAAUCUAUCACGUCUCCAUCAUGUUGAGAUCACGUAUGAUGUCAUAUGUGUUGAAUCUGUAGAGACUAAGCAUAAAAAUAGCAUUCUUCAGCUUUUAAACGGAAUUGCUGCUACUGAUGUGAUGACAUUGCAUCACCCCACUUCAUCCGUUCUCGGAUCAGCUUGCAGCCAUACCUGGCCCACAUUUUCAAAUUUGAGGAUGUUAGAAAUUAAUUUAACUGAUGAGACGGGUUGGACCUGUUUCCCAAGAGUGCUCCAUUCAACACCCAAUUUGCUAGUUCUUAUUCUGGAUUUGGGAAGGAUGAAUACAACGUACCCUUAUGACCGUAACCCAUGCACAUGGGCUCCACUAGAUAGUGUCCCUAUUUGUUUGUUAGAAAACCUCAAGGUAAUUGGAGUUAAAUGGUUUGCAGGAUUCGAAGACGAAGUAGAAGCAGUAGAGUACUUACUAAAAAAUGCUAAAGUGUUGGAACGUAUGAUGAUUAAUUCUUAUCCACUUGACGAUGAAGUGGUGGACAAGCUAUUGAUGUGUCCAACAGCUUCCGAGAUUUGUGAUGUUCAAUUCUAUGAUAAUAUCUUCUUUCAGAUUUCGCCAAUUAAGAUCAGCGUAUGGGGUAUUUAAGCUCCAUUUUUAUUAUGGUGUUAUUUUUAACCUGCAAUGGUUGGUUGACCCGAAAGGGUUGGGUAAAAUCGCUGCUACCUGAAAUUUGCUAGACAACACAUUUGGUGAAUUUGAGAGCGCUUGCAGAAAAUUUCACAACUUCUCUACCAACUUACUUUGGAGGAUGCAUGAAUGGCAAUACUUUUUGAAUCCCGUGAACGAGAACUCUGUAUAGGCUCGGCCAACGAAGAGGAAAUGCAUCUUCAUGGACAUAUCCUUCCUUGGUCUCUACCUUUCCCUCAUCAUCAGCAUCGCAACAUCUUCUGCUUUUAUCAUCUCAAUUUUAUUCCUGGAAGGUUUUAUGUGAUCCUCACUGAAGGGAAAUGCAUCGGUCCCAUAAUCGAAUUACUUAUUAAACGAAGAUGACUUCAACUUAUGUCUCGAUCGAAUGAUCCAUUUGCCACCCAACAAUAAUUUUGUUGGACUAAUGAGAUUUUGGCAUAUUAGUUAAAGACCGAAAGUCUGUAUAUGUUAUGUCACACGUUCGAAAAUUACUAACCGU